GAAGUCUCAGGAUGUAAUGCUGAUCCUGGCACAAAUGAAGGCAGGAAUGAUUAAGAUAUGGUUGACCUCAGAAUAGGAAUUCAGAAAUCUCUCUGCCUGCCUCUUUGCCACUAAGAAAACAGACACUGGUUCCCCAAACCCCUGAUUAAGAAAGAAGCUGGAAGAACAUGCAGAAGCUUUUGAGACUUCAUUCCCUUCUCAAUAAAUGGCACCACCAUGUACUCAACCACUCCAGGCCAGAAACCUUACA